rnacentral:precursor_RNA from 1 species
CUGUGGGUUGGGUCGCUCCAUUCCCUACAAAAUGGUUGAUUGGACCGAUUGCUGACCCACAAGU